rnacentral:rRNA from 1 species
AGCUCCAAUAGCGUAUAUUAAAGUUGUUGCGGUUAAAAAGCUCGUAGUUGGAUCUCGGCAGCCAGGGGUCGGUUCGCUCCACAGCGUGACUGCCCCCUUUGUCUUUGUUAUUGGCGGAUGUUCCGGGUUGCUCUUCUUUGCGUGUCCCGGUGCGCCGUCAGGUUUACUUUGAAAAAAUUAGAGUGCUCAAAGCAGGCUUUUCAGGCUUGAAUAUUCGUGCAUGGAAUAAUGGAAUAGGAACUCGUUCAUAUUUUGUUGGUUUUCGGGAAUCGAGGUAAUGAUUAAUAGGGACAAUUGGGGGCAUUAGUAUUCAAACGACAGAGGUGAAAUUCUUGGACCGUUUGAAGACGAACUACUGCGAAAGCAUUUGCCAAGAGUGUUUUCA